AUUAUUCUGAAAAUCCCACUGUUCUCCAUGCCAUCCAGUCAUGAUCCAGUGAUCAAAAUGUUCCAUUGUCUUUUCAUUGUUUUGAAAAUCCCACUGUUCUCCAUGCCAUCCAGUCAUGAUUCAGUGAUCAGAAUGUUCCAUUGUAUUUUCAUUGUUUUGAAAAUCCCACUGUUCUCCAUGCCAUCCAGUCAUGAUUCAGUGAUCAGAAUGUUCCAUUGUCUUUUCAUUGUUUUGAAAAUCCCGCUGUUCUCCAUGCCAUCCAGUCAUGAUCCAGUGAUCAAAAUUUUCCAUUGUCUUUUCAUUAUUUAGAGAAUCUCGCUGUUCUCCAUGCCAUCCAGU